rnacentral:rRNA from 1 species
CGGACGGGUGAGUAAUGUCUGGGAAACUGCCUGAUGGAGGGGGAUAACUACUGGAAACGGUAGCUAAUACCGCAUAACGUCGCAAGACCAAAGAGGGGGACCUUCGGGCCUCUUGCCAUCAGAUGUGCCCAGAUGGGAUUAGCUAGUAGGUGGGGUAACGGCUCACCUAGGCGACGAUCCCUAGCUGGUCUGAGAGGAUGACCAGCCACACUGGAACUGAGACACGGUCCAGACUCCUACGGGAGGCAGCAGUGGGGAAUAUUGCACAAUGGGCGCAAGCCUGAUGCAGCCAUGCCGCGUGUAUGAAGAAGGCCUUCGGGUUGUAAAGUACUUUCAGCGGGGAGGAAGGUGUUGUGGUUAAUAACCGCAGCAAUUGACGUUACCCGCAGAAGAAGCACCGGCUAACUCCGUGCCAGCAGCCGCGGUAAUACGGAGGGUGCAAGCGUUAAUCGGAAUUACUGGGCGUAAAGCGCACGCAGGCGGUCUGUCAAGUCGGAUGUGAAAUCCCCGGGCUCAACCUGGGAACUGCAUUCGAAACUGGCAGGCUAGAGUCUUGUAGAGGGGGGUAGAAUUCCAGGUGUAGCGGUGAAAUGCGUAGAGAUCUGGAGGAAUACCGGUGGCGAAGGCGGCCCCCUGGACAAAGACUGACGCUCAUGUGGCGAAAGCGUGGGGGAGCAAACAGGAUUAGAUACCCUGGUAGUCCACGCCGUAC